rnacentral:lncRNA from 1 species
GGAUCUUCACAAUGGAUGUUGGAAACGGUAACCCAAUUUCAUCAAUAUGUUUCAAUUUAGGUUUGUGAAUUAGUACUUUUUUCCCUUCACUGGUCAUUUUAUUUAAUUGGUAUUGUGUGAAUUUCUUCAUUGGUAUCUUAAACUACGAAAGCAGAGAAAAAGUCAGGUUUGGCAUCAAAAAGGUUCAAAUAUCUAAUGUUUUCAUCGGGUAAGUUUGUAAAUUCCCUAUCAGUGAUCUCAACUAUUAAGAAGCAUCAACAUAAAUUCUUUAACUAUGCUUCAUUUAUUUCUAAUUUGAUUAUGUGAGUGAAGUUUGUUUUCUUUCAAUUUGGCGAAGAUCUUGUGCCAGUACUGAAUUUAAAUCUCAAUUUUGUAUACCUUUUACGUUCUUCCAUGGUUCCCUUAUGUUAAUUUAGUUAUUUAUAUGCAUCGUCGUUACAGGUAGGUAAAUUCUAUGUUCAUUAAGGAUUUUAAUGUUUUAACCUAGCGUUUGAUAUUGAGAUUUCUUGGAAUUCAAAUGAAAGCUUCAAAUUAGGGGAUUCUAGAGUUUAAUUGAUCUCCAAAAUGCAGAUACGUCCUAUUGGGAGUUCAAGGGCAACAAAUGAACAAAGAGUACAAUAUAGUUAUCUGAUAGAGUUAUAAAAUGACUCAUAUAGGGAGGUAAGUAAUUGAAUUUUCCCUGCUUUAGAAAAGCUAUGGGAAUGUGUGGCAGCUUUCUUAAAUCAAUUCUUUGGCUCCUGAAAGCUGUAAAGCAGGUUUAGUUGAUUACCUUUUGCACCCGAUUUACUAUCAGUUAAAUAUAAAACGCCAACAACUUUCCACAUGAAAGUGGACUGUAAUCCAUAUGCUUAUAAUGCAUACGUGUGAUACAGUUACUAAAGAGUGUUGUCUUGAUAGAAUAUUUUCGAGUCAGAUGUGACUCAGAGAGGUUAUAAGUUUUAGUUAAUAAGGGCAUCAAUUGCAUUUGACUAGCAUAUUUAUUCAUCUAGCUCUGAUGGUGCAUCUUGAGCUAGGUCUCAUUAUGGACAUUUAUUUCAGGUGUUUCUGCAUUUUACGGGCUAGCUAGCAACGGUAUGUGAAGAUUCCAUUAAUUUAUCAUGUUUAGCAAACACUGUUACAUCUCUCAUAAGCUGCUGAAAAUUGAUAGUAGGUAGAUAACCUUCUACUUAUGUAAUGUAUUUGUCAUAUGCCACCUGUGUCAAAUACAAGCUUUUGCUGCCGGUUUUUAUUGACAUGUGUCUACAACACUGAGAUCUACAUAUGCGGGGGAGUCGUGCAACAACCAUCUCUCCAAAUACGAAGGUAUUGUAUCUGUUAACUUCUCAUUUUGCUCAACUGAGAUAUAGUUUGUAGCUUGUGUGAUGGUUUGCUUUUCAUUUAAUCCAUGACAAAACGAUAGUUGAGUUGCCUAACCCGAAAAAUUAUUUGUGUACAGAUAAAAAGAUAUUAUAUAGUGUUUCUUUUUUAAUAUUAAUAACUCCGUCACUCUUUCUGAAAAGCUAACAUUGUUUGAUUGCCUCCGGUAAAGAAAUAAGGCUCUACACAUAAAUAUUAUUCUCGUGGGUAUUGCAUUUGAUAGAUCUACUGAUGGUGCAAAUAACAGUAAAACAAUACAAACAAGCGAUAUGCAAGGCUUGGUACUGUUAUCUCCUGUAUUCAAAUUAGCAAAUCAGAAAUAAUAAAAGAUGAAAAGAAAAAUACAAAGAACUAUCCGAGUCCACAUUAACCCACUGUGUGUCCUUAAGAAAUUUAAUCCCCUCAAGUACCCGAGGUUGCAGAUUAAUUCCUCCCAAGAUAAAACGGAUUAGCCAUUAAAGAAGUAGCGGUACCUCAAACUUCGAUAAUUUCAACGAACUCAAAAUGACAACAACGAAUCACACACACAGACACGAUCGAUCGAUUUUGUUUUGUAAGAAAUGUAUGCAAAAGAANNNNNNNNNNNNNNNNNNNNNNNNNNNNNNNNNNNNNNNNNNNNNNNNNNNNNNNNNNNNNNNNNNNNNNNNNNNNNNNNNNNNNNNNNNNNNNNNNNNNNNNNNNNNNNNNNNNNNNNNNNNNNNNNNNNNNNNNNNNNNNNNNNNNNNNNNNNNNNNNNNNNNNNNNNNNNNNNNNNNNNNNNNNNNNNNNNNNNNNNNNNNNNNNNNNNNNNNNNNNNNNNNNNNNNNNNNNUGAACAUAUAUCGGAUAUACUUGGUCAAUCGGUAGAUUUGAUAUCUUUGAACCGUCGAGCUUUGGUGUAUACCUAGACAACAUAAGUCACACAAUCAACCCUUGAACUGUUUUUGGUUCUCAUUGUUUUGUCCGUUUCAGCCAUGAAGGCGUCUUGGUUUAUAAGUGCGUAGAGAACUGGCCUUAUCGGAUUCUCCUUGAAGCGGCUUACACUUCACACUUACAUAGGUGAUUUCUAAAUGUGUUAUCCCGUAGAUACACCAUUUGAUUUACCCUGUAUCAAGCUUAGAAAUCAUUAAAAAGUCCUAAUGCCUUUAUCCUUGUUACUGAACAUUGUCUUAUCAUGAGAAUGGACCAUAAAAAAUAUUUGACAAUGUUGAACCGUCAUCAAUGACUUUGUUUGAUCUCCUUGAACCUAGAUCUUGGGAUCUCCAGUCUUCUAGGUAGAGUUACCGCCACAAUGACUUGUUCUCGGCCAUAGUCCCAUUCCCUUUGAUAAUCUAUCAACUCCCUCUCUAGUUAGGCCUUUUAUAAGUGGAUCCGACACAUUAUCCUUUGGCUUUACAUAGUCAAUUAUGAUAAUUCCACUAGAGAGUAGUUCUCUAACGAUAUUAUGUCUACGUCAUAUAUGACGAAACUUUCCGUUAUACAUCAUGCUCCAUGCCCUACCUAUUGCAAAUUAACUCUCACUGUGUAUGCAUACUGGAGCUAAAAGGUUUGGGCCAAAAAAAUUUCAAGAAAUUUUGGAGUCAUUCAACUUCUUUACCGGCCUUAUCUAGAGUGAUAAACUCAGAUUUCAUAGUAGAGCGAGCGAUACAUCUCUGUUUGGAAGAUUUCCAAGAGACUGCUCCUCCACCAAGAGUAAAUACAUAUCCACUCGUGGAUUUUACUUCAUUUGACCUGGUGAUUCAAUUUGCAUCACUAUAUUCUUCCAAUACUGUUGAAUAUUAGUUAUAAUGCAAAGCAAUAGUUUUUUUUAAGUAUGUUUUAAAUACUCCAAAACUCUUUUCAUUGUCAUCCAAUGAGUUUGAUUGAGAUUACUCGUGAAUCGACUUAGUUUAUUAAUAACAUAUGCUAUAUCUGAUCGCGUACACUUUAUGAUAUAUAUCAUACUUCUCAAUACUCUAGCACAAUCCAAUUGUGAGUCACUUUUGCCUUCAUUCUUUUGAAGUACAAAUCUCACAUUUAUUGGAGUCUUGACAAUAUUGAAAUCCAAAUGCUUGAACUUGUCAAGUACAUUUUCAAUCACAUCAGUAACUUCAAUGUUUCUCAUAUCGAAGUUACUUUCUAGCAUAUGCUUAGUAGCAUUUAUGUUAGAAAUGUCUCUUUUGACGAUCACAAUGUCAUCAACAUAAAAAUAAAUAAUGACCUUGUGAUUUGGAGUGUCUUUAAUGUAAAAACAUUUAUCACAUUCAUUAAUCUUGAAUUCAUUUGCCAACAUAGUUUGGUCAAACUUCGCAUGUCAUUAUUUGGACGCUUGUUUUUAGUCCACAGAGUAACUUAACAAGUUUACAAACUUUCUUUUCUUUACUAGAACCACAAAGCCCUUGGGUUGUUCUAUGUAAAUUUCUUCCUCCAAUUUUUCAUUUAAAAUAAAAAUGUUUUCACAUCCAUUUUGAUGAAUUUGAAGGCCAUAUUUCGCAACUAGCGCAAUUAACAUCUGAAUUGAUGUAAUCCUAGUUAGUGCUAUUAUCUGUCAAACAAGGCUUUCUUAUUGUCUAAAGCCCAUGACAACAAGUCUGUCUUUAUAUUUGUCAAUAGUUUCAUCAACUUUCUUUUCCUUUUGUAGAUCCACUUUGAAUCCAAAAGUUAUUUCCUCGAGGAAGAUCAACCUACUCUCAAAUAUGGGUGCUCAAGAUUGAAUCCAUCUUACUAUUGACAAACUUUUCUCAAAGAGAAUGAGUCCACAAAGGACAUAACUUUUAGAAUAUAUGAGACUCAUUUUCAAGAAGAAAUGUUACAAAAUCAAACUCGUAGGAAGUAAUUUGUCCAUUGACAUUUACUACGCCUUUGAAUCUCUUUAUUAAGUACAUUCUGCUUUGGUUCUUUCCAAGUUCGUUUAGACCCUUCACUUGACUAUCCGACAGUUCGGACUUAUGAACCAUAAAUCGACAUGCUUUACUAUUUGUAGCAUAUCCAAUGAACAUACAAUCCAAAGUCUUAGGUCUUAUUUUGACCCAUUUGGGAAUAGUUCCCUCAUUUCCAUUUCUCAUAUGAAAUAGACUGUAUUGGAAAUUGUUUGAUCACUAUCUUUUAAGAGUUAUUGCUUGUAUAAACUUUAAGGGACGACAAACAAUUCUCUAUCAGGGUACAACAAAGACUGAACAAACACAACUUUCUGUUGCUCCUUUCUUAACAAGCAAACGUUUUUUUUAUUAUUAUUUGUUACUCCCUUUACUAACAAACAAACUUUUUGUUUCUCUCUUUCUGAACAGACAAAUUUUUUUUGUUGUUCUCUUUUGCUAUAAUGAUAGCACCACCCACAAAUUUUGUGGUAAACCUGAACUUAUAAAUAGGACAUUCGACAUUUCCUUCAAAGUUCGGUUUUUUUUUCUGUCAACAAUUUCAUUAGAUUGAGGUGAAAAUGUGCAGUAAUUUGAUGGAUGAUUCCAUUUUCCAAAUAUAUUUCUGCAAAAGAAGAUUCAUAAUCUCUACAUCUACCACUUCUAAUCAUGACAAUCUUUUUAUCCAACUGAUUUUCAACUUCAGUUUUAUAUUGCCAAUAUGUUUCUAUUGCUUCAUCCUUACCAUUCAGCAAAUAAACAUAACAAUAUCUAGUGCAAUUAUCAAUAAAAUUUAUAAAGCACUUUUUCCCACCACGAGAUGGUGUUGACUUCAUAUCACAAAUGUCAGUGUAAAUCAAUUCUAAGGUAUUAAAAUUCCUUUCAACAACACAUACUUGACAUUUUGAUUUAUUGCACUAGAAGUUAGGCAAAACUUCUAAGUUGAUCAGCUUUUGCAAGGUUUUGUAAUUGACAUGUCCCAAGCAUUUAUGUCACAAACAAUUUGAUUCAAGCAAGUAAGAACAAACAGAAAUACUAAGUUUGAAAAGACCUUCUGUGAGGUAACCUUUUCCCACAAAUAUUUUGUUCUUUACUUUUUAUAACUUUGUCAAAUACAUACAUUGUUUUAGAAUCAGCACCUUGUCAUAUGCCCUUUUCAGAAGGACUUUUCCAUAACAUUCAAUUUGUUAUAGAAUUACCCAUGACCAUAGUCUCUUCGGUCCAAUAAGGGCAAUAUGACCCAAAUGUUUGUUUUACAACACAAACAUAACAUAUCCCUUUUCACCAAUGUUCAUGUCUAUAAAAAAAAAAAUUUAAAUUAGAUAGUAAGUCUAAUUUUGUCUUUACCAUAAGUAAAGAACCCCCCAUAUUUUAAAUAUGUUCUCAAAAAUAUUUUUCAAGUAUUUGAAAUUAUUUUCCACAUAUUUUUUUCCAUGCUUACACAUUGGCAACACGAAGCCUUCUUUUGGAGAUUUAAUCCAUAUAAACACCCAUUGCAGGCACAAAAAUCACUAAUUUUAUGUCACUAGUGUUUUUUUUUCCCCUUUCUGUCACAACUAGAUAAACCACUUAGUAUUUAGAAUACUAACAAUAAAGAUUCAAUCUUUAUACAACUUGUUUCUAGUUUAACGAUGAAGUUUUAUAAUCUUCUAAUCGUUAACUGAAUGAACCUUGAAUUCUGAUGUUAGUUUAACGAUGAAGUUUUAUAUUCUUCUAAUCGUUAACCAAAUGAACCUUGAAUUCUGAUGAAGUUUUUUAUAUUCUUCGCAUCAGGUUUCAACAUUCAGACAGAGUAGCAACCAAAAAGGUUUUAAUCUCCAGAAACCUCAAAUACAACAAUGUUUCUAGCUAACGAUGAAGAUUUUUAUCUUUUUCAAAUUAUUUAGCCUUAAUAUUCCUGACGAAGAUUUUGUACUCUUCAAGUCAGAAUAUUCAUUCAAAUAGAGUAUUUAACAAAUUGGUGAAGUUUCUAUAUUCUUCAAACCAAUGCACAAUCUGAUUUGUUCGUGAAGUUCUUAUAUUCUUCAAACCAAAGGACUAAAAAAAAUCCAGAAGAUUUUAGACUCCAAAAGUCAAACACAAUCAAAUUUCACAUAGAGUAGAAAACUACAAAAGUUUUUUUUUUCUCCUCUAAAAAGAAUACAUAUUAAUAUUAAUAAAGAUAUAUUCUAAGAUCAUCAUAUAAUGAUCAUCUAUCCUAACAUUAAUGAAAUAAAUCUCAUAACUUAUUAAGGAUAGAAAAAAAUAAUCAAGGGAAAUAAAGAUAAAACCUGAUUAUUACCCCCAUUGAAUCACAUUCUAUUUGUCAGCAAUGAUUCCAUGCAAGUCACUUUUCUUGCUAAUUUUUUUCCUUCUUUUCCUGUUUCUAUCAUAUUCCAAUUUUCCUCAGAAGACAUUGAAUUUCAACGAGAAACUAAACUCAUGUUCAAAUAUUGUUAGGAGACAACAUCUGUUCAUUUAUUUCUUCUCAUAGUUAUAUAAAACCAAGAAUAUAGGAAAAAUAAUUAAAGUGCACAUCUUAACCUUUAUGCACAAAAUAACUUUUCUCAUUGAAAAGAAAACUGAAGGGGUGCAAUGGUUGAAUGCACUUGAAAAGAAAAUAAUAAUAAUCUUACCCAUCCAAGGAAAACCGUGAACAAAGAAAGAGUUGGAACUUGGAGCUACCUAUGCUUGUUAUUUUCUUAAUUCUCUACAUGAAUACUAUGAUCAAAUAGUGCAUUUAAUUUGUUUCAGUAAUAAGUUGUUGUAUUUGUAUUAUUGUGAGAAAAGUGUUAUCUCUUGUAUUCAGAUUAGCAAACCAGAAAUAAUAAAAGAUGAAAAGAAAAACACAAAGAACUAUCCGAGUCCACAGAACCCAAUGUGUGUCCUUAAGAAAUUUAAUCCCCUCAAGUACCCGAGGUUGCAGAUUAAUUCCUCCCAAAAUAAAACGGAUUAAUCUUUAAAGAAGUAGCGGUACCUCAAACUUCGAUAAUUUCAACGAACUCAAAAUGACAGCAACGAAUCACACACAGACACGAUCGAUCGAUUUUUUGUAAGAAAUGUAAGCAAAAGAAGGGAAGAAUUCGAUGCAGAAAAAUGAGAGAAAACCUCUCUAUUUAUAGCCAACAAAGGGUAAAGGUCACAACCCUUUGGAAAGAAGACAACCUUUCAGAAAGGUCACAACACUUUGGAAAAGGCACAACCUUUCAAAUGGUCACAACCCUUUAGAAAGGACACAACCUUUCAUAAAGGUCAUAACCCUUUGGCAUAGUUACAACUCUUCGGGAGAGUCAUAGUCCUUCAUUUCCUGUUCACACCUUUAAAACCCAACAGGUACUUCACUCCUUCUCCAUUGCAGAGUAAUCUGACCUUAUCUAAGUCGUAAAUUGAUGUUCAUAUGACAAAAAAAUUGUGAAAACUGAUCAAUUCAUCGCGAUUUUGGAGAUGAACAAGUAAAGUGUAUAGAUUGUUAGUGGCAAUUAUAAUGUGGUUUCUUGCCAAUUAGAUAUGCAAGAAAGUAAAGAUUCGAAUACAAGCUGCUAUUUCCAUUUACACAUACUUCUAUUUUUGCAGAUAGUUGUGUUUAGUAGUACUUUAUUUGUUCUUAUUAGUUUGCUAAUGUGGUUGAAGUUAAUAAUCACCUUUCACUCCUUCUAAAGAACAUCCAACUGACUAUUUCUUUCUGUUCAAAAUAUAUAGGUGAAUGAAAACAACAGAAUAAAGUCGGUACGAUAAUUUCUUUCAUGCUUUUGUCAAUUGGAUUUUUCCAAAUUUAAAUUGGUCAUCUCUAAAGUGAUGUGUUAUUUUCUGUGCAAUUUAAGGUUUUAGAUGUAUUCCCACUUCUCUUUGCUAUCCGUUGAACCAUGUAAGUUCACUCUUUUAAUUUAUUUUCAGGUCAUAAAGAAGUUUCAACCUGAAAGAACCUACUUUUGUUAAGAGAUUCCAGAAUUCACAACCUCCCUGAUUCAACUUUCACGCCAAGGCAACAUAUAUGUAAUUACCUACAAUGCCUCUGUUUUGGCCUUUCCUAGAAAGCUCCAUUUAUACCAUUCCGUAAAAUACAUGUAAAUGUGUCAUAUUGAUAUUUAUUUUAAUCAUGUGUGCACGACUUAAUGCUCGAGUUUCAUGACGCCUAUCCUAAGGUUUCAAGGUUUUAUCAGGUCGGAUAAGGGGAGGAUUCUCUGUAAACCACAAGAAAAUAAAGGUCAAUCCUUUAUAUUUAUCUAUAUAUGCAAGAAC